rnacentral:rRNA from 1 species
GACGAACGCUGGCGGCGUGCUUAACACAUGCAAGUCGAACGGAAAGGCCCUGCUUUUGUGGGGUGCUCGAGUGGCGAACGGGUGAGUAACACGUGAGUAACCUGCCCUUGACUUUGGGAUAACUUCAGGAAACUGGGGCUAAUACCGGAUAGGAGCUCCUGCUGCAUGGUGGGGGUUGGAAAGUUUCGGCGGUUGGGGCUGGACUCGCGGGUUAUCAGCUUGUUGGUGGGGUAGUGGCUUACCAAGGCUUUGAAGGGUAGCCGGCCUGAGAGGGUGACCGGCCACCUGGGGACUGAGGGACGGCCCAGAGUGCAACGGGAGGCAGCAGUGGGGAAUAUUGCACAAUGGGCGGAAGCCUGAGGCAGCAACGCCGGGGGUGGGAUGCCGGCCUUCGGGUUAUAAACCGCUUUAGCCUGAGACGAAGCGUGAGUGACGGUACUGGAUAAAGAAGCACCGGCUAACUACGUG